rnacentral:rRNA from 1 species
UACGUAGGGUGCGAGCGUUGUCCGGAAUUAUUGGGCGUAAAGAGCUCGUAGGCGGUCUGUCGCGUCGGUCGUGAAAACUUGGGGCUUAACCCCGAGCUUGCGGUUGAUACGGGCAUGACUGGAGUUCGGCAGGGGAGACUGGAAUUCCUGGUGUAGCGGUGAAAUGCGCAGAUAUUAGGAAGAACACCAGUGGCGAAGGCGGCUCACUGGCCCGGUACUGACGCUGAGGCGCGAAAGCGUGGGGAGCAAACAGG